GAAGUGGGCACAGGGACCCAGCUCUAUAUUUCCAUCCCAUGCUGUCCCAAGACUCACAACAAGUUCCUGUGACCUCUCAAACUAUGCGAGGGGCCGGCGAACACGAAUAGAGGGGUCUGGUCUUCCUAAGACACCACCAACACUGUGAGAAGGGGCCCAGAGGAGCGGCCACACCAUUCCCAGAGCUUGCCGAGAGACUCCGACACUGGUGUCAGUGGGAAUUCUGAAGCUCCCGGCACAUGAGCUCAUGCGUGGCCGAGUGCCCAGCCCUGUGCUUCACGGCUUUGGAAUGUGUUUUCUAGGCUGGCCUGCCUUGCUCCCCCCAUCUCACCACAGCAAGGGCUGCUGUCUGCUCUCGGCUCUUCAAAGCCAGGCAAAUUCCAGAAAGGCUAUUAAUUUGCACUGGUGUGCGAUGCUGUCCCAGGCAAAAUUCUCCCUGGGGUCUCUUGCAAGCAGCGAAUAUGACCAGAAGGACACAGGCUGAGAAGAGGGGAUGGCCCUUCUGGCCCUGGCUCGGCACUGGCUCAGAGAGAGACAGGACCAUUGCCUCUCCCCAGUCUCCAGACCUUGCCACUUCACCUGGCCCACAGUCAGCCCCAGGAAACGAGCGAGCGAAUGGAGGGCUGGAUGGAGGACUAUUGUCACCUUUACAAGGGACCUCUGGGUCGUGUCCCCACCCCCCAGCUGUAUCUAAGCACUGGUAUCAGGGCAGCACCACUGGUCCUUUUUGGAUGAAUGCGUUCUAUGUAAUAGAUCGCACACACAGAGAGCACCUCCCUCUGUCUGCUACCACUGAAGCAAGCACUCAACGAGAUCAGAUCACACCGUGUGCGAUGCCCUCCCCUCCCCCAUGGGGUGCCGAGGGAGAGCAGAGUUGGUUUUGAGAUGACCUUUUCCCGUCUUCCCUUAGUAGUCUAUGAGAAUUUUAAGGCCAGAGGAUGGUCAUGGAGAGUGUGCAGAGAGCGAAGGGGAGG
rnacentral:lncRNA from 1 species